CUGGUCGCGAAUUCUUUGCUUAAGCGAUCUGGCUGCCUCAGCCUCCCAAAUUACUGGGAUUACAGGCAUGUGAGGUGCCACGCCUGGCCAAGUUCAUAGUUUUAAUAGCUCCAUUUUAUUGUAAGGAAACCAAGGCAAAAUAAAGUUAAUUAUUUUUCUCAGUUAUGCAGACAGUGAAUUUCAGAACCACUUAGGAAAUUCAAUCCAGACACAAAGGCUCCAGAUUACUAAAUAUAGGUUUGUAGGAAACAAAAAAAUGGGGCUAAGGUGUUCCAGCUAGACUCAGAUUUCCCCAUGUCCCAUAGCGGUCACUACAGCCUGAGAUGGGGCUCAGCUUAAGGCUAUGGGGACUAAAGAGAUAAAAGGAUUUGUAUUUUAGCCUCAUUCUUAGUCAAGAUUGCCACUCCCUUCCUGUGCUCCUGGCUGCAAACUUACUUCUUAAAAACUGGUAGGACUUGUCUCCCAGGAAUGUUUUCAAUCAUAAUUUUUAAAAAUCUCAUUAGAACAUCUAAUAUUUUAUUAUUGUUUUUCAGGUUUUCAUAGGAUAGCUGUUCAAAGGAAAAAAAAUAUACAAUGCUUGUUUCCCUGAGUUAACAGGAAGACCAGAUUUUUCACUAAACUGACCAACAUUGCUGUCUGUAUGUUAUGGAGUUGUCAACCCACUGUUUAGUCCCUAAGAAGAGAGGAUUUGUCACACUGGCUCACACUCACAGACUCAGUCCAUGUUUUAUAGCCAACAAAGCCUUCAAGGGACAAACAACAUAUCUGAUAUAUAGUCUCUUAAAAUUUUUGUUGCUAUCAAUUUUCUAUUUAUAAACUCACUGCUUGUGUAAAUAUUUUGUUGUGAUUUUUUCCAAAGAUUUGUUAUUAUUAUUCACAUCCAUGAUGGGGGAGGAGAAAGAGAUAGAGAAAGAGAGAGAGAGAGAGAGAGAUUGAGAGACAGAGAGAAUACUCACAUUUCAGCCCUUUGAAAUCAUGCCAGUUAUUUUCUGCAUAGGAUCCCGCUGUUUGUGCCUCCACCUCCAUUAUUCACCCUGCUCGAACCCCCUCAGUGCCCCCAGGAAGCCACCAGCAUAUGACAGGCUUGCUGGGUCCUCUGAUUUACUGCUGGCUUCCAUUAGCUAGGAGCCC
rnacentral:lncRNA from 1 species